UACAGAGGUCUCAAGCGUUGUUCGGAUUCAUUGGGCGUAAAGGGUGCGUAGGUGGCGGGGCAAGUCAGGUGUGAAAUCUCGGGGCUCAACCCCGAAACUGCACUUGAUACUGCUUUGCUCGAGUACUGGAGAGGAGACUGGAAUUUACGGUGUAGCAGUGAAAUGCGUAGAUAUCGUAAGGAAGACCAGUGGCGAAGGCGAGUCCCUGGACAACACCUGACACUGAGGCACGAAAGCUAGGGGAGCAAACAGG
rnacentral:rRNA from 1 species